rnacentral:rRNA from 1 species
UACAGAGGUGCAAGCGUUGUUCGGAAUUAUUUGGCGUAAAGGGCUCGUAGGCGGGUUGUCGCGUCGGGAGUGAAAACCAGGUGCUUAACACCUGGCCUGCUUCCGAUACGGGCAGACUAGAGGUAUGCAGGGGAGAACGGAAUUCCUGGUGUAGCGGUGAAAUGCGCAGAUAUCAGGAGGAACACCGGUGGCGAAGGCGGUUCUCUGGGCAUUACCUGACGCUGAGGAGCGAAAGUGUGGGGAGCGAACAGG